rnacentral:rRNA from 1 species
CCUACGGGAGGCAGCAGUGGGGAAUAUUGGGCAAUGGAGGAAACUCUGACCCAGCAACGCCGCGUGAAUGAUGAAGGUCUUCGGAUUGUAAAGUUCUUUUCUAAGGGAAGAAGCAAGUGACGGUACCUUAGGAAUAAGCCUCGGCUAACUACGUGCCAGCAGCCGCGGUAAUACGUAGGAGGCGAGCGUUAUCCGGAAUGACUGGGGGUAAAGGGUGCGUAGGUGGUUUGGCAAGUUAGUAGCGAAAAGCCCGGGCUCAACCUGUGACCUACAUUUGAAACUGUUGGACUUGAGUGCAGGAGAGGCAACCGGAAUUCCUAGUGUAGCGGUGGAAUGCGUAGAUAUUAGGAGGAACACCAGUGGCGAAGGCGGGUUGCUAGACUGUAACUGACACUGAGGCACGAAAGCGUGGGGAGCAAACAGGAUUAGAUACCCGUGUAGUC